UCCACUUUCUUUGUCUUCAUUCUUUACACGGUAGAAUCUAGAAUAUGCUCCAAAUCUAUUUUCACUUUGCUCUUUCCCGGAUUCUGAUUAUAGAUUUGAAUCUCUAUUUCGCCCUCAAAUUUGUUUUCACUGCUGUUGUGUUCUUUAGUUGUGGUUCUGAAGCAAAAAUCUUUCUCCAAGUUUGAGGUUGAGAACACCUCAGAAGCUCUGUCAGUAGCUAUGUUGUUGAUAAAUAGCAAGCCCAACAAAGGACUGCGCAAGUUCUUGAAAGCACACUGUGAUGGGGAAACUUUGGUAGUUGCUGAUUCAAAGCUUGGAAAUGCAAUUAAAGAGAAAUUGCAGGUUUUUCAAAAUAUUUUGCUCCAUCAGUCAACAACUCAAAAUGAACAUAUGUAAUUUUCUUUUGGUUGCUUGGCUCUUCCUAUCAAGGGUGAUUGCUUAUAGUUCUAGCUGAAGGAUAUGACAGAGAUGACCUACCUCUUAAAGUUUUAAUUUUUUUAAUUAGAAACAAUACAACCAAAAGUAAAUGAAGAUGAGGUGAACAAAACUUCCGGUCACCAAUACUCAAUCAAUUAAGGCCCCGGGACUUCUCCCGUUCUCUUGGAGAUGAGUGAAGACACAAGCAGAAGAAAGAGUAGAAGUUUGAUAGGAUUCAUUGGUAAACAAAAAAAACAUGUUUAUCACAAAGAGAAUGUAUCUCAAGAGAUAAAAGUUAUUUGUUAUGAAGAUAUAUCAUGCUGGACUAGAACACUUUAUUCAUUGAGCUCUCAUUACUGUGACAUGUUUCAUGGUAAAUCCCAAUUUUGCUAAUGUGGAAUGAUUUCUAGAUUUUCUUAUUUGUUUAGUUUAAAUGCUAUGAUUGUUUGACGAAUAUUCGGUCUAAUCAGAUUUGACACACUUGCUGCCAGACUAGAUAAGGAGCCUUAAAAAAGAACACUAUAACAGGUGGAUGUAUAAAGAAGUAAUGAAAGAUAUGUUCUCACAUUCUUCAAUUAUUUGAAGGUUAAAUUGACUAUUUGAUCUCAGUUCCUAAGACAUUAAGUGUUGAUUGAUCCUCCUCUCCAAGGAGCUCAAUUUACCUGGUCAAUAGGGGAGGUCUCCUUCCAAUCCUCUAGAAUUGACAGGUUUCUUAUCUCACCUGAAUGGAGUGAAAUGUUCAAUGCUAUCAAACAGUUCCCACUGCCUAGAGUGUUAUCUGACCACAAGCCCAUCGUCUUGGA